rnacentral:rRNA from 1 species
AUGGCACUGCCCGGUAGCUAAAUGCGGAAGAGAUAAGUGCUGAAAGCAUCUAAGCACGAAACUUGCCCCGAGAUGAGUUCUCCCUGAGACUUAGAGUCUCCUGAAGGAACGUUGAAGACGACGACGUUGAUAGGCCGGGUGUGUAAGCGCAGCGAUGCGUUGAGCUAACCGGUACUAAUGAACCGUGAGGCUUAACCUUACAACGCCGAAGCUGUU